GGGGGAACACAGCCCUUUUUCAUUAGAACUGGGAGAUAUGGGAGGAGGUACAAGAGUUCUGGUGAAGCAUGGACCCCAACCUAGUGACAUUUAGCCAUUGAUUCUUGUUCAUUAGGUGAUACGCUGGUUCUGAUAGCCACAUAAAGUCCUCUGUGUUUAGGUUCUGAGUCCCAGUUCCUGGGGUUGGCUGAUUUCUUUCUACUAUCUCUCAAGGUCCUGUGUCACAUAUUGAUAUUCCCCUUCAUUUCUGAACCCGACUGUGGCAGGUAUUUGCUGUCCUUAUGCCAGAGAGGGGACAUGGAGUGGAAACAGGGGAAUAAUGGGGGGUGAGGGAGCCCAUGUGAAUUGGAAGGUAAAAGGAAAACGUCUUCUUUUUAUGAACCAGAAAGUGAGAAAGGUAUGAGCCACUACUAUUGAGCUCCUUGCCCUCUUCCUGCUUCACUGACCCCAUCACUGCUGCCUCCCUUUCCACAACCACAAUCAUCAGCUUUCAUCACUCCAGCUUCUGAGCAAUUUCUUCUAUUUGACCACUCACUAUAGCUGAAGGUACUGAAAAUAUAAAGUUCUAGGUAGAACUGAAGUUGACUUAGACACAAACUGUAAAGAUGUUAAUGUGUAAGAUGCAUGUAUCAGAGCUUGCCCAACUGUGGGAAAUUGUUUCAAGUCAUUCAAAACCACUAGGGCCAUUGGCUCUGACUCAUGUGAGGCUGGAUAAACAAACCCAUGCCCAAGAGAGAACUAGUUCAGCUGUUUUUCUUUGCCUUUCAGUUAUCAAAGCCAAAUUACAGAGGGAGGCUUGCAUGUUUCACAAGUACCUUGUUUUGUUAUUCUGCUUACUAUUUCAUAGGCCUCUUGGAAUGUAUUUACCAGGCUCCUCUUUCAAAAUGUGUUGAAAUAUCUGAAUGAUCCUAAAAGUCUUUAUUUUGGGGCAGGGUCCACUCUAGUGAUUUAUAAAGAAGCCCAAACGGUUACAAAUGGUUAGAUUUCUAUUAAUGGGUCAUAAUGAAGACCAAAUAUCUCUCUCUUUCUAUAUUAGUUGGCCUAUUUUCUUAUAACCCAUUUUCCUUUAUGCCCUUAAGAUUCAAAAUAUAAUGCCAAUAAGCAGAAUCUUUUUUUAAAGCAGAAUCUUUUUUGUGUUUUCAGCAAUAUAUGGGCUCCUACUAUUUUCUGCAAUCCUGCCAGAGCCCAAUACAUUUCCUUUCCUCUUCUUUCAUCUUGUAGCAUGAAACAUGCAAAAACAAUAAAAUGGAUGAAAUGAUGAAUGCUCAUCAUGUGUGUAUGUAUACAUUCACAUAAUGAUUAAGUUAUUAGAAGGAAAACCUCAAAUUUGUAUGCUUUGCUUCUUUUCUCAGAACUCCUUUCCAGUAUUUUCGUAUCCCUUGAACAGCACUUACAAGAAGUGUGACUACAAAGUCCCACUGGCCAGAAGCCAGUUUGGAGUGUCACAAUUUUUGCUGGGAAAAUGGUUCUGGCAUUCAACUUAUAAAGAAUGAGUCUACUGAGAGCCAGACACAAACAUCUGGGAAUUUGUGUCCUAUUGCUGGCAUUCUGUGUGCUUCCCAUGAAACAUUCUUUUACCUUCAAGCCUAUAUGGACCCAAAAUGAAUCACUUGAGGUUUGUGUGUCAAGAAAUCAAAGGCCACUAAAUUAAAUUAACUUGAUAUAUACAUGUACCUGUACUAUGGAAUACGUGAUUUUGUGGGUUGUAUAUAUGUGUAUGUGUGGUUGCAUACGUGUGCAUGUAUAUUUCAUGUCUUUGUGUUCCUAAUGAAAAAGGUAAAAAUUGAAAUCCUUAACAGGACAGACAAAACUACAUGGACAUCAAGUCUAAUGAAUUCAGAGGGGAAAGAGGACCUAUAUUUGAAAACUCGCCACUAAACUUUCAAAUUACUGAGUAAAAUAAAAAUGUCUCUUCCCUUCCCCAACACUCACACAUACAAUGUGAUGAAGUAUUCUACCUAGAGAAGACCAUAAUUAUUUUAACUCUCAUAUUUCAUGCUCUUUGGGUAGUUCUUAAUGUAAACUUAAGUCUGAGGUGUAAAAUAUAUUUUAAAAACCAGGUAUCUUUGUAAUUUAUUCUAAGAGUAGAAGGAUGAGAAGGCAUUUCAUGUCAAGUCAGAAUCCUGCUUGCCCCAGGAGAAGAGGGGGAUCAGCAGUGUGCAGUGUGAGUCCAGUUUUGGCAUGGGUCGGCCCCUGCAUUUUGGAGAAAUCAAUUUUCAACAAGAAGAUUAAGAGAAUGAGAAAGAGAAAUAUAUAUCAAGGGAAAACCAGAACACACGGCAUGUGUGACACCAGCCAGGCAUUUCCAUCAGGGACUGCCAGCCAGCUGGCCCUCAGCUAGCACUCUCAGGAAGAUGACGAAAGUAAGGCCCUGGGAACCUCUCUGAAAUCUCCCAACAGCAGCAGCUGGGCAGAGAUGCACACCCAAGGUCUGUCUGAUGGCAGAAGCCAUGUGUUUGCCUUUUUGUCAGUGUCUCUCAAGAGACUCUGCACCACUUAAACUGGUACUUCCUUUGUCUUUUAGUUGGUUUCACCUUUUUUGAUUCCUUUAUAAAAAACAAAACUGUUUCUAAGAAAACAUCUGUACUUUUCUUUUCCCUUUCCCUUUCCUUCUUCCUUCCGUAGGCUCCAUGCCCAGCAUGGAGCCCAAUGUGGGGCUUGAACUCAUGACUCAGAUCAAGACCUGAGCUGAGACCAAGAGUUGGAUGCUUAACCAACUGAGCCACCCCGACACCCCGAAAAUACCUGUUCUUAAAUUAGAGAAACAGAACACCCAGCUGGGAGAUGAUCUUCAAGGGGCCAAAGUAGAAUCUUCGGGCAACGAGGACAUGACCUGUCCAUCUCCACUAUCCCCAGACUAAAGAUGGGAAGGAGUCUUCUAACCACCUUUGAACUUGAUGAAGAAAUUAUUCUCUGACAACCUCUUC